CCUACGGGGGGCUGCAGUGGGGAAUAUUGCACAAUGGGGGCAACCCUGAUGCAGCAACGCCGCGUGAGCGAUGAAGGCCUUCGGGUCGUAAAGCUCUGUCCUACGGGAAGAAUAAUGACGGUACCUUAGGGGGAAGGCCCGGCUAACUACGUGCCAGCAGCCGCGGUAAUCCGUAGGGGGCGAGCGUUAUCCGGAAUCACUGGGCGUAAAGGGUGCGGAGGCGGCCUGGAAAGACAGGGGUUAAAUCCCUCGGCUCAACAGAGGUGAGCGUUUGAAACUGUAGGGCUUGAGUGCAGGAGAGGGGAGCGGAAUUCCAAGUGUAGCGGUGAAAUGCGUAGAUAUGAGGAGGAACACCAGUGGCGAAGGCGGCUCUCUGGACGGCAACUGACGCUGAGGCACGAAAGCGUGGGGAGCGAACAGGAUUAGAUACCCUAGUAGUC
rnacentral:rRNA from 1 species